GCUUUCGUGGUGUAACGGUAGCACACUGGGCCGAUAUUCCAGAGGUCCGUGGUUCGAUUCCCGGCGAAGGCG
rnacentral:tRNA from 1 species